AUAUAAACACCAAAGGAAAGAGGAUCUCAAGAGAUUAACACAAUGGGUUCUUAUAAGAAGCACUUAAUAUUUUUAGCAACUCUCUUGUAUCUCAUGCUUUUCCUUUCAACCUAUGGAGCAGCAAGAAUCUUGGAUCCAAAUGGAAAUAUGAAUAAGGUCCAAGAAAUAAAGAUGAUUGUAGUAGGACGAAUUGUACGACGAGAUUUGGCACAUGGAGGAAACUAUGGCCCAGGACUUCAGUGAGAUGAUGUUAUAAACUAAUUUUCUUCGAGUUUCUUUCUUUUUUAAUAACUAACUUGAAUGUAGCGUUCUGGUUUGAAACUUCUUCUUUCUUUUCAAGUACUAAUGAUUUUAAAGAAGAAAAAUAAUAAGCAUAUUAUGUAUAUAUACUAGAAUGGAUGAUUAGUACUUCUUUGUUUGUUUUGAAAUAUAUGAUGUUAAUUAA